GAUGAAGAACGUAGCGAAAUGCGAUAAGUAAUGUGAAUUGCAGAAUUCAGUGAAUCAUCGAAUCUUUGAACGCACCUUGCGCCCUUUGGACAUUCCGAAGGGCAUGCCUGUUUGAGUAUCAUGAACACCUCAACUCUCACGGCUUGUCCGUGAUGAGCUUGGACUUUGGGGGUCUUGCCGGCCUGUGGUCGGCUCCUCUCAAAUGGAUCAGCUUGCCAGUGUUUGGUGGCAUCACAGGUGUGAUAACUAUCUGCGCUUGUGGUUUUCCAUCAGAUAACCUUCAGUGAUAUGGAGGUUCGCUGGAGCUCACAAAUGUCUCUCCUUAGUGAGGACAGCUCUUUGAACGUUUGAUCUCAAAUCAGGUAGGACUACCCGCUGAACUUAAGCAUAUCAAAAGCGGAGGA
rnacentral:misc_RNA from 1 species